rnacentral:rRNA from 1 species
CGCAAGCCUGAUCCAGCCAUGCCGCGUGAGUGAUGAAGGCCCUAGGGUUGUAAAGCUCUUUUGUCCGGGAAGAUAAUGACGGUACCGGAAGAAUAAGCCCCGGCUAACUUCAUGCCAGCAGCCGCGGUAAUACGAAGGGGGCUAGCGUUGCUCGGAAUCACUGGGCGUAAAGGGCGCGUAGGCGGAUCUUUAAGUCGGGGGUGAAAGCCCAGGGCUCAACCCUGGAAUUGCCUUCGAUACUGAAGAUCUCGAGACCGGAAGAGGUAAGUGGAACUGCGAGUGUAGAGGUGAAAUUCGUAGAUAUUCGCAAGAACACCAGUGGCGAAGGCGGCUUACUGGUCCGGUUCUGACGCUGAGGCGCGAAAGCGUGGGGAGCAAACAGGAUUAGAUACCCUGGUAGUCCACGCUGUAAACGAUGGAUGCUAGCCGUUGGCGAGCUUGCUCGUCAGUGGCGCAGUUAACGCUUUAAGCAUCCCGCCUGGGGAGUACGGUCGCAAGAUUA